UACGUAGGUGGCAAGCGUUGUCCGGAUUUAUUGGGUUUAAAGGGUGCGUAGGCGGCUUUAUAAGUCAGUGGUAAAAGGUAGCAGCUUAACUGUUUUACACGCCAUUGAAACUGUAGAGCUUGAGAGUUUUGGAGGAUGAUAGAAUUUCUGAUGUAGCGGUGAAAUGCUUAGAUAUCAGGAGGAAUACCAAUUGCGAAGGCAGUCAUCUGUGAAAUUUCUGACGCUGAGGCACGAAAGUGCGGGUAUCAAACAGG
rnacentral:rRNA from 1 species